rnacentral:rRNA from 1 species
GAUGAACGCUGGCGGCGUGCCUAAUACAUGCAAGUCGAGCGAAGCGGGGACGGGUGAGUAACACGUGGUUAACCUCCCAUAAGACUGGGAUAACUUCGGGAAACCGGAGCUAAACCGGAUAAUUAUAGAUGGAUCCGCGCUGCAUUAGCUAGUUGGUAAGGUAACGUCUUACCAAGGCAACGAUGGAUAGCCGACCUGAGAGGGUGUUCGGCAACACUGGACCUGAUACACGUUCCAGACUCCUACGGGAGGCAGCAGUAGGGAAUCUGCCGCAAUGGGCGAAAGCCGGACGGAGCCACGCCGCGUGAGUGAUGAAGGUCGUCGGAUCGUAAAACUCUGUUAUUAGGGAAGCGGUACCUAAUCAGAAAGCCACGGCUAACUACGUGCCAGCAGCCGCGGUAAUUC